rnacentral:rRNA from 1 species
UACGAAGGGUGCAAACGUUGCUCGGAAUCAUUGGGCGUAAAGCGCACGUAGGCGGCCUGAUAAGUCGGAUGUGAAAUCCCUCGGCUCAACUGAGGACGUGCAUUCGAAACUGCCAGGCUCGAGUAUGGAAGAGGGUCGCGGAAUUCCCGGUGUAGAGGUGAAAUUCGUAGAUAUCAGGAGGAACACCAGUGGCGAAGGCGGCGACCUGGGCCAAUACUGACGCUGAGGUGCGAAAGCGUGGGGAGCAAACAGG